rnacentral:rRNA from 1 species
AACGAACGCUGGCGGCAUGCCUAACACAUGCAAGUCGAACGAGACCUUCGGGUCUAGUGGCGCACGGGUGCGUAACGCGUGGGAACCUGCCCUUAGGUUCGGAAUAACUCCCCGAAAGGGGUGCUAAUACCGGAUAAUGUCUUCGGACCAAAGAUUUAUCGCCUUUGGAUGGGCCCGCGUUGGAUUAGCUAGUUGGUAGGGUAAAAGCCUACCAAGGCGACGAUCCAUAGCUGGUCUGAGAGGAUGAUCAGCCACACUGGGACUGAGACACGGCCCAGACUCCUAUGGGAGGCAGCAGUGGGGAAUAUUGGACAAUGGGCGAAAGCCUGAUCCAGCAAUGCCGCGUGAGUGAUGAAGGCCUUAGGGUUGUAAAGCUCUUUUACCCGGGAUGAUAAUGACAGUACCGGGAGAAUAAGCUCCGGCUAACUCCGU